GAUGAACGCUAGCGGCAGGCUUAAUACAUGCAAGUCGAACGGGAAUUGGGUAGCAAUACCUGAUGAUAGUGGCGCACGGGUGCGUAACGCGUAUGCAACCUACCUUUAACAGGGGGAUAGCCCGGAGAAAUUCGGAUUAAUACCCCAUAGUAUUAUGGAGAGGCAUCUUUUCAUGAUUAAAGUUCCGGCGGUUAAAGAUGGGCAUGCGUGCCAUUAGCUAGUUGGUGAGGUAACGGCUCACCAAGGCGACGAUGGUUAGGGGUCCUGAGAGGGUUAUCCCCCACACUGGUACUGAGACACGGACCAGACUCCUACGGGAGGCAGCAGUAAGGAAUAUUGGUCAAUGGGCGGAAGCCUGAACCAGCCAUGCCGCGUGCAGGAAGACGGCCUUAUGGGUUGUAAACUGCUUUUGUCAGGGAAUAAACCCUCGUUUGCGAACGAGGCUGAAGGUACCUGAAGAAUAAGCAUCGGCUAACUCCGUGCCAGCAGCCGCGGUAAUACGUAG
rnacentral:rRNA from 1 species